CUGAAUUCAAUCUCGCAACCUCAGUCUUGGAUUCAAUCCCGAUAUUUAAUCAGGGAUGAGGAGCUUUAUUGUUUUUAUUUUGGCUCUGUUUGAAAGAGCAUCACAUUGGAAUAAUUUACACCGCUAGUGGAUGCAUAGUGUGGCCUGGUGGGUCACGUGACCGAUAGCAUUUCUAAAAUUGAUUUUUACCUACUCCAAUCUGCACUAGGCAGAAUUGAUUUUAUUGAAGCAAAAGAAGAACCCUUUCUUCCGUUGUCGGUUCCUAUUCUGUUGCUAACUACCCUCGUUGAAGAAGAACCCGUUGCAAACCAUUGAAGAACCUAUUGAAGAGAACUCGUGUUCACUGUUCCGCUGAUCUCUCUCUCCCUCUCUGUGCGUGUUGUAAGCAGUUGGUUGCCAUUGGAUUUUUAAGUAACACUAACAGAAACUCAUUGCUAUGUUUUGAUUAGUUAAAUUUAUUUAUUCGCAUUUGGGUUUCUUCUUAUUAGUUGUAUGCCCACGACAUAUUUGUUAAAAUGCCUUAUUAGGUAUUUAAACCUUUAAUUAGAGUGUUUAGCUAAAGCUUUUGAUUUUAAUCGUUCUUAAUUCCAAUUCCAAAGCCCCAAUUCAUUGCAUUCGAACAACAUCUGCAAUCUGUUG
rnacentral:lncRNA from 1 species